CUGAGUAGAGAGAGGCAUCCUGUUGCUCUCUGGGACUCCAUCUGUUGCCUACUCCAGCCAGUCUCCUGGAGGAAGGGUCUGGAAAAAGAUAUCAAGCGUCCUGGGGGAAGCAGGUGCAGAGGGGAAACUGCACACCACGGUGGAGGCCACCCCAGAAGAAUUAGAGUAGAGCAUCCAUUCUCUCCCACCUCCACCCCCUUCAGCCAUCUUUGAGUCUAAAGGAAAGAAUCAUUGGUUAGAGUGUUCUGGAGAGGAAUUCUGGGACUUUGGGCAGCUGAAGUUUUGUAUAAAGUGUGCAAAGAUAACUUGCCUCAUUGGGUUGCUGAGGGGACUGAGUGAGAAAAUCCACGUAAAGUCCGAGGAGUGCUUUCCCACCAGGUGCUCUUGGUACAUUGAAGGUUCUCACUGACGGCAAGGGAAAAAACAGAGGAAGAUUCAUGGGCCAGUGUCACUAGAGGAUUCACUGCCGACAGACAUGAGCUGCCUGUUCCAGUUUAGUAUCUCUGCAUCUUCCUGAAGGCUGAGUUUUACUAUUUGACUCCUAUCCCUUUAAACAACAGGCUGCGCAUAAAAUAAAAUCUACUGAAUCUCAA